GUCGGUGACGAUUGAGAUGAGGUCCCACCUGUUCCCAUGCCGAACACAGAAGUUAAGCUCAUCCUCGCCUACGAUACUUGGCGGGCGACUGCCCGGGAAAAUCGGUGUUGCCGACA
rnacentral:rRNA from 1 species